GGAGUCUAGCAUGUGCGCGAGUCAUUGGGACCACGACUAAACCUAAAGGCGCAAUGAAAGUGAAGGUCCGCCGUGCGCGGACCGAGGGAGGAUGGGCGGUUCCGAGGAACCGCCCCGCACUCCCGGGGCGUCUCGAUCUCAUCGCGAGAUGAGGCGCACCCAGAGCGUACACGCUGGGACCCGAAAGAUGGUGAACUAUGCCUGGUCAGGACGAAGUCAGGGGAAACCCUGAUGGAGGUCCGUAGCGAUUCUGACGUGCAAAUCGAUCGUCGGAACUGGGUAUAGGGGCGAAAGACUAAUCGAACCAUCUAGUAGCUGGUUCCCUCCGAAGUUUCCCUCAGGAUAGCUGGCGCUCGCUUCUCGCGAGUCUCAUUCGGUAAAGCGAAUGAUUAGAGGCAUUGGGGUCGAAACGGCCUCAACCUAUUCUCAAACUUUAAAUGGGUGAGAUCUCCGGCUUGCUUGAACUGUGAAGCCGCGAGAUAUCGGAUCAGAGUGCCAAGUGGGCCACUUUUGGUAAGCAGAACUGGCGCUGUGGGAUGAACCAAACGCCGAGUUAAAGCGCCUAAAUCGACGCUUAUGGGAUACCAUGAAAGGCGUUGGUAACUUAAGACAGCAGGACGGUGGCCAU
rnacentral:rRNA from 1 species